rnacentral:misc_RNA from 1 species
UUAAAAGUCAACAAGCGCACUUUAGUGUGGCUCAAACCCUUUUAAUUAAAUUAACCCAUUUAAACCCAAAGCUGUCUUGUGUACUUUUUUUAAAAGUAUAGCAUUUCAGUAGUACGCAUCACAAACUCUUUUGUUUGUGUUGCAUUACCCCCCCUUAUAAGUGACCCUUUAUUCUCUGAAAUCAUUAACCACAAUAAAAGUUUUAAGAAUGUAAACCCCCCUUAAAUUAAUAUA